rnacentral:rRNA from 1 species
CAAUAGCGUAUAUUAAAGUUGUUGCGGUUAAAAAGCUCGUAGUUGGAUUUCUGUUAAGAAUCGUUGGUCUGCCUAUUGGCAUGAAACCGAUUGAUUCUUGACAUCAUCAUUGUAGGCAAUUGAUACUUAGCUGUGUUGGUUGCUUGCAAUGAAAGUUACUUUGAGGAAAUUAGAGUGUUUCUAGCAGGCAAACGCCUUGAAUAUAUUAGCAUGGAAUAACACGAUAGAGCUUCGGCUUUAUCUUGUUGGUUCUGGUGUCGAAGUUAUGAUUAAUAGGGACAGUCGGGGGCAUUCGUAUUUAACGGUCAGAGGUGAAAUUCUUGGAUUUGUUAAAGACGAACAACUGCGAAAGCAUUUGCCAAGGAUGUUUNCAUUGA